GACGAACGCUGGCGGCGUGCCUAAUACAUGCAAGUAGAACGCUGAAGGAGGAGCUUGCUCUUCUGGAUGAGUUGCGAACGGGUGAGUAACGCGUAGGUAACCUGCCUGGUAGCGGGGGAUAACUAUUGGAAACGAUAGCUAAUACCGCAUAACAGUAGAUGUUGCAUGACAUUUACUUAAAAGGUGCAAUUGCAUCACUACCAGAUGGACCUGCGUUGUAUUAGCUAGUUGGUGGGGUAACGGCUCACCAAGGCGACGAUACAUAGCCGACCUGAGAGGGUGAUCGGCCACACUGGGACUGAGACACGGCCCAGACUCCUACGGGAGGCAGCAGUAGGGAAUCUUCGGCAAUGGACGGAAGUCUGACCGAGCAACGCCGCGUGAGUGAAGACGGUUUUCGGAUCGUAAAGCUCUGUUGUAAGAGAAGAACGAGUGUGAGAGUGGAAAGUUCACACUGUGACGGUAUCUUACCAGAAAGGGACGGCUAACUACGUG
rnacentral:rRNA from 1 species